rnacentral:rRNA from 1 species
AUGGAAUUGGUGGUGUAGGGGUAAAAUCCGUAGAGAUCACCAGGAAUACCCAUUGCGAAGGCGAUCUGCUGGAACUCAACUGACGCUAAUGCGUGAAAGCGUGGGGAGCAAACAGGAUUAGAUACCCUGGUAGUCCACGCCCUAAACGAUGUAUACUAGUUGUUGCUAAGCUAGUCUUGGCAGUAAUGCACCUAACGGAUUAAGUAUACCGCCUGGGGAGUACGGUCGCAAGAUUAAAACUCAAAGGAAUAGACGGGGACCCGCACAAGCGGUGGAGCAUGUGGUUUAAUUCGAAGAUACGCGAAGAACCUUACCCGGACUUGAUAUCUAACAAAUCAUCUAGAGAUAGAAGAGUGUCUGCUUGCAGAAAUGUUAAGACAGGUGCUGCACGGCUGUCGUCAGCUCGUGUCGUGAGAUGUUGGGUUAAGUCCCGCAACGAGCGCAACCCACGUCAUUAGUUGCUAACAGUUCGGCUGAGCACUCUAAUGAGACUGCCUUCGUAAGGAGGAGGAAGGUGUGGACGACGUCAAGUCAUCAUGGCCCUUAUGUCCGGGGCGAC